GCCUCCUUAGCUCAGUUGGCCAGAGCAAGGUCCUUGUAAGACCGAGGUCGUCGGUUCGAAUCCGACAGGGGGCU
rnacentral:tRNA from 1 species